AUCGGGUCGCGUCCGAGGAGGAAGGGAAGGAAACGUUGCGCUGCUCCGCGUGAAGCACUUCCUGUUUCACCAGUCCUCGUCAGCCUCACCCCUUUAGCUCCCCCCGCCCUCCCAGCUGACCCGGGGUCACUGCAACCGGGCUACGUCUGCUCCACACAGCCUUCACAGACAGACACCACCCCUGAGGUGCACCUGUCCACCAUCACCAUCUCCUCCACAGACUGACAUCCAUCACUCUGCUCCUUUACCGGGGCCGGACCCAUUCUGAAACGGCAGCACAUCCAAACUUUGGGGCAGCUGUGCCCUUAGCGUGCUCACCGCCACCGGAUCACAGCAGAGUCCGUCUCCCUGCACACCAGGUGCUGUAACGUGGCUCACACCCGUGACCCCGGGCGCUGCAGGGUCCUGUGCACGCGACGCGAGACAGCACCGUGCGCUGACGAGCAGGUCACUGAAUGUCAUCACCCUACAAACGCUGCACAGUAAGUCAUUAGCACAGAUUCAUACAUUUCAUGUUUCUACAACAAUCUGGAAGGCGACAAACCCGUACGACCUCUGCAUGUCAGGUGCACAGCACGCAUAUUUAAUGAUUCCUAAUAAUAAUAAUAAAGAUUCAUCAAACCGGUGGUUCUGCAUUACCAGGGGCUGCCGCCAGAUGGCAGUGUUCUCCUCAGGUUGAAAUGGGAACCUGAACAGCCCUUCUGACUGCUCACACGAGAGCGGAAACGCUCACACAAUAUUCUGUGAUAUGCCAGCGUGGAAAUUAAUUUUAGAAUAAUGUAAGGCUUAAUAAGAAUUUUUUUUCUUUGACGUAUGUGUUGCAUAUUUCUUUCCUUUCAGUAACGUGCAGUUGGAGCAUUCAACCAUUCAUGAGGAUGUGUCACUUUACAAAGAUUCCUGGUACUUAAAGCAUUAAAGUUAUUGUGUAACUGCACUUAAAGUUGUUUAUGUUUAUGAGCUAAAAAAUUAAAACUAUUACAUUCCUUAUAUUUGUAAUUAUUAAAUGUAAUAUUGGGUCAAAAUCAAGUACUGUAUGUCAAGGUAUUUUUCAGCCUUAUAUGAAUCAAAUAUUUAUGUAAUAAAGUCUAAACGUUGUGUGAGAUUCCCUGACAUUUUGCCGAUGAAGACACCAGGAAGUCUGCAGCUACUUCAAAACAUUUGUCAGUCACAUUGUUGCAGCUCAAGCAUCACAAGGCAGCUGUUAAGCAGACUCUAAAAAUGUUAAGCUUCCAACAAUGGGAGGCAGAAAAUGUGAAGGGAAACAAUUAAAUUACGCCUUGCAUGAAGUUUGCUUUUCAUUUUGUGAGGCAAAUUUAGUGCCAUGGUUAAUCAUUAUGCUGUUGAACACGAUUUGCAAAAAUAUUCAAGAGCUUUAUGUGCCUCAGUGCCCCUUCUGUAUUGAAAAAUAAUGGGCCUCUAUCCAAUUAAAAACUGCAUUAAAUCUCUAAAGUAUUACAUGCACUUUACUGGUAUCUCUCUGAUU